rnacentral:rRNA from 1 species
UACGUAGGGUGCAAGCGUUGUCCGGAAUUAUUGGGCGUAAAGAGCUCGUAGGCGGUUUGUCGCGUCUGCUGUGAAAACUGGAGGCUCAACCUCCAGCCUGCAGUGGGUACGGGCUGACUAGAGUGCGGUAGGGGAGACUGGAAUUCCUGGUGUAGCGGUGAAAUGCGCAGAUAUCGAGGAGACACCGGUGGCGAAGGCGGGUCUCUGGGCCGAAACUGACGCUGAGGAGCGAAAGCGUGGGGAGCGAACAGG